ensembl:lncRNA
UUCUGAACUGUCAUUUUCGAAGGUUGAGCGGACUGCAGAUACGCGUGUUUAAAGGGGUUCCACAGAUAUGCACAACUACAGCAUCCUGAGAUCAGUCCUGAUGGGUCUACUGAUCUUAGCUGAUGUGCUACCCUCAGAAGUGGAGCUUAAAUGGGUGUCAUUCACCCAUCACAAACUAUACCAAGAAGCCUCCAGGAAAACAGUAUUUAUAAAACGUAUUGUUUUAUGUUUAAGAAAUACGUUAUACACAAUUUCUGCUCAUUUCCAUUUAUACUUUGGCUCAUUAAAAGUACAAACAGCUGCAACCGUGCUGCUUCCAAAUGUUCCAGCGCUCUUCUCAGGCUACACGGCCUCUUUCCCUGAAGUCCUCUAGUGCGUUUCAAGAGUCAAUCAGAAUACGUCUGAUACAUUAAACACCUCCAAUUACAGAUUAUCACAUUAAGUACAUUUUUUGUUGAACAACCAUAUGAGAUAAACACAAUAACAUUCAUAUACCCACACUGUUGCUUUUUAAAGCACAAUUUCUUAGACGCUUAGUGUAAUUUGUUAUUAUUUUUAUUUUACUUUUUUUUUUUACUGUGGCUACAUUUACAAUUUUGUAUUUGUCUAAUUUAGACUUUAUGCAGUAUUUACUGGGGAUACCCAUACAGUUCCCUGUAUUUGGUUAUUGUAGUGUUUGUAGUAUUUACUGGGGUUACAUGUACAGUUCUGUGCAUUUGGUUAGUGUAUCUUUAUGCAGUAUUUACUGGGGUUACAUGUUACAUUUCUGUGUGUUUGGCUACUUUAGGCAUUGUCUGUAGCCUGUAUCUGGGCGUUAUGCUGUGUUCGUAGCCUGUAUCUAAGGUGUUAUGCUGUGUCUGUAGCCUGUAUCUAGGUGUUAUGCUGUGUCUGUAGCCUGUAUCUAGGUGUUAUGCUGUGUCUGUAGCCUGUAUCUGGGCUUUUUUGCUUGCACUCGUAUACUGACAUUUCAAUCUCUGCCUCUGUUAGUAAUAUUAAGAUGAACAAAUUACAGCAGAUUGAUCUGAAUGGAAUAUAUUUGUAAAUAUUUUUGUAAUUUGUGCUGGACAUAAAUAAAACCUUUUGUUCU